UAUCGUGGGAUGUAGUUUGUUUGC
rnacentral:siRNA from 1 species